GCCAGGCAAGAGGGUGGGGACCUGAGUCAGGGUCACAGCCUUGGUGAGCAACGUCUCACCUACUCGUUAGUAAACCACCAUUAAAAUAGUUGCAGAAAAAGUGUGUAUGAAUUGGCAUGAUAGUAUUGGAAGAAAACGAGAGCAGUUCUCAUGCUCCUCUGCUUCGUUGCCAGCGAAGUUUGUACCUCUAGUUGGCCCUCUCUUUCCUGCUUGUUCCUACCCUGCCGCUUUUUCCUCUCAUUCCUCUUCCUUCUCUUCUUCUCCAAGAACUGAACCACCGAGGGAUGCCUACCCGAGGAUAUGUUCUGAUCUUUGUCUUCUGGGCUCUGCUCACCAUCAUUACCCCGACUCUCGUCUCCUGGUCGGCGUCAGCAAAGCCAAAUCUUGUUGCUCCCGGAGAGACUUUGCUGGAGAUGAAGGUCAAUAGGAGAAUGAUGGGUUCCGUAGAGACCGCUGCCCAACUAAAGAACGGCACCAGGAAGACGAUACCACGAGCAACGGCGCCAUCGCCGGCUGCAGCUCCGGCACCAGCUCCUGCGGCAGGACAUGACGUGCUCAGCUAACGCUAACACUUCCAUGACGGCGGCGUCGAUUGACCUUUGAUUUUUCAGGUGAUAGGUAUUUAUAUAUAUACGAGCGAUUGGGGGGUAUCAUAAUAGUGUGGCAGAUCUUGUGAGUUCUGAUCACAAGAAAGAGUGGGUAGAUCACUCCUAAACCAUUUGCUAGAGAGGAUCUUCCCUUCCCCAGCAUUCGUGCGACAUGUCCUCUUCAAAACGUGUUGCAGCUUUACAGGGUACCUUCGAGCUGACAGCCACAGUCGCAGUUUGCGACCCUCGUCGCUUGCACGGAUCGAUUCGCGACAACAGCAUUGGGGAUCGAUGCACGCAGACCUUAUCGUUGCUUCGGAACAGGGUGGCCAAGUCUUGGGAUCUUAGAGCAGUAAAAUCGCAGGCAAUGAGAUAGAACUUCUUAGUACUAUCAUUACUGUCAUUAUUCGAACAAAAACUCGACUGCGCUCUGGAAAAUUAGGUCCAUUGCAUGCUUUUUCUUCGUAUGUUUCGAUUGAUUCUUGGAUCGGGGGGAAGAAGAAAGGGACUUGUUGGAUCGUCGAUGCUUCUUGGCUCGUUCCCCCGAGAUAGACUGAGGUGUUCCCUCAAUGAAGUGAAAAAGACGACCCUGCCGAAGUGACAAGAGAUUUCCUUGUUGUUGUUGUGAUCGACUCUCGAGUUUUAUUGAUCGACGAUGAAGUCGUACCACAUUUCAUGUCGAACCGGAAAAAGCUCAUCUCUUCUUUAUUGUUUGCCUUUAGAAACUGAGCAGAUGCGCUGUGUGUUCACGUGAUCUUCCCUUUUGUCCGCAGCAUGAAGAGUUCUCUACCUGUGUGCGUCGCUCCUGCUCUUCGGACAUUAUGUCCUCGCUCAUUGAAAUCUGGCUUCAUCGGCAAACAUAUCGAUUAGUAGCUGUGCAUUUCUCUGUUCUUUCCCCCGAGACAUAAACAUAACGAAAGCAUGAUAAGUCUC